rnacentral:rRNA from 1 species
GACGAACGCUGGCGGCGUGCUUAACACAUGCAAGUCGAACGGAAAGGCCCUGCUUUUGUGGGGUGCUCGAGUGGCGAACGGGUGAGUAACACGUGAGUAACCUGCCCUUGACUUUGGGAUAACUUCAGGAAACUGGGGCUAAUACCGGAUAGGAGCUCCUGCUGCAUGGUGGGGGUUGGAAAGUUUCGGCGGUUGGGGAUGGACUCGCGGCUUAUCAGCUUGUUGGUGGGGUAGUGGCUUACCAAGGCUUUGACGGGUAGCCGGCCUGAGAGGGUGACCGGCCACAAUGGGACUGAGAUACGGACCAGACGCCUACGGGAGGCAGCAGUGGGGAAUAUUGCACAAUGGGCGGAAGCCUGAGGCAGCGACGCCGCGUGCGGGAUGACGGCCUUCGGGUUAUAAACCGCUUUCGCCUGUGACGAAGCGUGAGUGACGGUAAUGGGUAAAGAAGCACCGGCUAACUACGUG